ensembl:lncRNA
ACUGAGAGAUCUACACCGCCAUUUAGGAUAUAUUGCAUAGUUCUCAAUAGCACACCAGUCCCAGGGAAGGUGCAGGUUUUAGUUCCUCUAUUAACGCUUUGUCGCUGCUCCGCUCGCACCGACUCCGGAGGAGCCACCACCCGCCCGGAGCGGGUCUGCGUCCGCUCUCGGAACCGCCGGAGAAGCUGCAGGAAGAGCGGGGAAGGGCGCACCGUCGGCUGCGAUCACUGGAGGCAAACAUCGAAUUAAUUGGAUCUUGGUGGCUGAGGCUGGUAACAGUGUAUUGAACGGAGUUAUCUGCCGCAAUGCCCAGGUGUCUGCCAGAAUGUCAGGACAUUCUAGACCAGAGAGAAACUGGAGUUUGCCUUCAGAAGAAGUGCCAUGGAACGGCUAGAUCUGUGCCUUCACAGCGACAGGGCCUGGCACUAUUUUGCAACUUCAUACCUUACUCCUUUAAGUUAAGUGAUUAAUUCUGUGGAAUUAGGUGGUUGUUUAGUGACUCGUAUUACUUACAUUCAUUGUUGCUGAAGACCUCCAAACCAACUGCAUAUUUGUUUCUCUCUUGGAAAACUCAUUUUUGGAUGUGUCCUCUGACAACACCAUGUUAAGUGAAACGGGGCAUGACCACCCCAGCUGAAAAUCUGAACGUUUCAGAAGUUUUUCAAAAAUUUCUCCCUAAUGUGGGUCCACUUAAUAUUCGAAUUAUCAAACAUAGCGUGACAUCAGAUGGCAAGCCAAAACACAUUAAUUCCUGGACUAUAGGCAUAAUCGGGACCCAAUGCAAUGUCCAGUGAUACGGAUGGGAAAUCUACCUUUGGUAGCGGUGGAAGUGGCAUCUGGCCCUUCAUGGCCCAUAGGAUAGGACUAUGCAGGCGGCUUUAAUUUCACGCCGAUCUCCAGUAUUUGUAACAUUUGGAAUUAAAAUGUAGAAUUAAACUGAAUUAGUUUACCAGCGCAGUUUUGUGCCGGGGCUUAGCAGCAAUCUAGUGGGCAUUAGGAACGAAUGUCGUUCAUUUCGUGUUCCUAAGCGCAGCAAAAUGACCUUUGGUACACUCCUCUGAGAGCAGUGUUAGAAAGAAAAGAGGGAGAAGGAAAGACAGAAGGAGAGGGAAAAAAAAAGAUUCCUCACUCUCAGGAUUGGGUAGCGGAUCUAUAACUAAUGAGCCAUGAGGUCAUAUAUCAGUAAUUAACACGCAUCUGACGUCCUGCGCAUUCCCAGCGCGGCUUUGUUCAGGCAGUAUGACUCGAAGCACGGACCGGUGCGGACGGGGCCGGCUCGUGGGGCACGAGGGUCUCCCCCUGCUCUGCGGGCAAAAAGGGAAAGCAGCGGAAGCAGCGGGGAGGGGAGAGGGGAACGGACGACAAAGGCGAGAGGUGCGCUGCCAGUCAGUGGGGCAGGGCUCGUCAGAGGGCUGGGAAACAGCCCCGUCCCGCCGCAGGAAUAGUGCCGUCCUGCAAUAACCUACCGCAACGCCACUUCCUCCGCAACUAAAACACGCGCAAAAUGGGCACGGGGGAUAGCAGAGACCUAUCAGUUUCCUGAUGUAGUUGUGCUAAUAAAUAAACCUUCUCGAUGU